AUUGAACGCUGGCGGCAUGCCUUACACAUGCAAGUCGAACGGUAACGGGCCUUCGGGUGCCGACGAGUGGCGCACGGGUGAGUAAUACAUCGGAACGUGCCCGAUCGUGGGGGAUAACGAGGCGAAAGCUUUGCUAAUACCGCAUACGAUCUACGGAUGAAAGCAGGGGACCGCAAGGCCUUGCGCGGACGGAGCGGCCGAUGGCAGAUUAGGUAGUUGGUGGGAUAAAGGCUUACCAAGCCGACGAUCUGUAGCUGGUCUGAGAGGAUGAUCAGCCACACUGGGACUGAGACACGGCCCAGACUCCUACGGGAGGCAGCAGUGGGGAAUUUUGGACAAUGGGCGCAAGCCUGAUCCAGCCAUGCCGCGUGCAGGAUGAAGGCCUUCGGGUUGUAAACUGCUUUUGUACGGAACGAAAAGCCUUCUUUUAAUACAGGAGGGUCAUGACGGUACCGUAAGAAUAAGCACCGGCUAACUACGUG
rnacentral:rRNA from 1 species